rnacentral:misc_RNA from 1 species
AUAUAAUUCUAUGUGUUAUAUAAAUCUUGUUAUUUUUUAAAAAAGAACACUUAUUAUAUUUAUCUCUUUUAUAGUUUAUAUACGAACACCUCAUAUAAUUCUAUGUGUUAUAUAAAUCUUGUUAUUUUUUAAAAAAGAACACUUAUUAUAUUUAUCUCUUUUAUAGUUUAUAUACGAACACCUCAUAUAAUUUAUUCACAUAUAACUUAUUAGCUAUAAUGAAAUCAUAUAAUUUUUUUUAUUAAUGGAAUAAGGGAUAUAAAGUUAUUAUAACGUGUAAUAUUAUAAAAUGAGAGUAUUAAAGCUAGAUUAUUUCAUUUAAUGUAAUAUUUUAUUGUAAAGUUAACUAAACAUGAUUUGGAGUUUUCAUAACUAAUUUACUAAUAAUUAUUUUUUAAAGAAUAGUAGGGUAAUUGUAAUGUAAAUUAAAUGGGUCUUGAUGGGUUUAAACUUGUCAAGCGUUAUGUGUGACAUGUUAAUCCACUUAAUUAAACGUGUCAUCAUGGGUUAGACUAGUCAACCAACUUAAGACACUUUUUGCUGUGUCAUAAACAUGUAAAUCUGUUUAUGACCCAAACCCAUUUAUGCUCAAUCCAAGCUUGUUUAACUCUUGUCUAAACAUGUCGUGUCCAAAAUUGCCAGCCCUGGCUGCAAUAACGGGUGAGGCCCCCCUUGGAUUCGUCCCUGGCUUCCUGCUAAGACUAUCCCGUUGCUGUCAUCCAAUCCCAGUACCUUCUUUUCAUUGUCAUUUCUCCUGAGUAUAUUCCCUUUUGUUGUUCUUAAUAUACUAUAAUUGUGUACAAAUGUAUGAUACAUCAGUGGAAUAAAGUGUGCUUCUUGACUUUUGCAGUACUAACACUUUUUCCUUCUUGCCAUGACAGCGGAGGUCCUCUAUUGGAUUCUAAAGGAAAUCUAAUUGGAAUUAAUACGGCAAUUUUUACUCAGACAGGGACAUCAGCUGGUGUAGGGUUUGCCAUUCCAUCCUCAACAGUGCUCAAGAUUGUACCUCAGUUAAUUCAGUUUGGUAAAGUUGUUCGAGCUGGUUUGAACGUGGAAAUUGCUCCUGAUCUGGUUUCAAAUCAACUAAACAUUAGAAAUGGAGCUCUCAUCCUGCAGGUUCCAGGGAAUAGUCUUGCAGCGAAGGCCGGGUUACUCCCUACUACAAGGGGCUUUGCUGGAAAUAUUGUACUUGGGGAUAUUAUUAUUGCAGUGGAUAACAAACCU